GACGAACGCUGGCGGCGUGCUUAACACAUGCAAGUCGAACGGAAAGUCUCCAGCUUGCUGGAGUACUCGAGUGGCGAACGGGUGAGUAACACGUGGGUAAUCUGCCCUGCACUCUGGGAUAAGCCUGGGAAACUGGGUCUAAUACUGGAUAUGACCUUUCUCCUUAUGGGGUUUGGUGGAAAGUUUUUCGGUGUAGGAUGAGCCCGCGGCCUAUCAGCUUGUUGGUGGGGUGAUGGCCUACCAAGGCGACGACGGGUAGCCGGCCUGAGAGGGUGAUCGGCCACAUUGGGACUGAGAUACGGCCCAGACUCCUACGGGAGGCAGCAGUGGGGAAUAUUGCACAAUGGGCGGAAGCCUGAUGCAGCGACGCCGCGUGAGGGAUGACGGCCUUCGGGUUGUAAACCUCUUUCAGCAGGGACGAAGCGUAAGUGACGGUACCUGCAGAAGAAGCACCGGCUAACUAUGUG
rnacentral:rRNA from 1 species